GACGAACGCUGGCGGCGUGCUUAACACAUGCAAGUCGAACGGGCCCGCUCUCUUUUUUGGGGGUGGGUUGAGUGGCGAACGGGUGAGUAUCACGUGAGUAACCUGCCCCCUGCUCCUGGAUAACUGCUUGAAAGGGCGGCUAAUACGGGGUGUGCCGGCUGGUCCGCAUGGGCCUGGGCGGGAUAGUUUCAUCUUCGGGUGUUUCGGUGGGGGAUGGGCUCGCGGCCUAUCAGCUUGUUGGUGGGGUGAUGGCCCACCAAGGCGGUGACGGGUAGCCGGCCUGAGAGGGUGGGCGGCCACACUGGGACUGAGACACGGCCCAGACGCCUGCGGGAGGCAGCAGUGGGGGGUAGUGCACAAUGGGCGGAAGCCUGAGGCAGCGACGUCGCGUGAGGGAUGGAGGCCGUCGGGUGGUGAACCUCUUUCUCCGGUGGUGAAGGCCCUGUCCGUUGCGGCGGGGUUGACGGUAGCCGGGUAUGAAGCGCCGGCUAACUACGUG
rnacentral:rRNA from 1 species